AAUUAUAAUAGAAGAAGUAGUUUUGGUUGUUGGCUGCCGUUCACAACAUGAAAGAGUCGCUGAUCAUAGAGGGUCUUCACGGAGUACGGAGCAAUUUCUCUCUCAGUUUCUACUGAUACAGAGGAGAUGAUCAACUUGAUGGCCACAGUGAUAAUGGAGGAGAUCCCCAAGCUUCAACUCUGAAAAGUGAAUUUUAAGACAUCUCAAAAUCUGGAGAUGAAGGUCCGGUCCAGCUAACGCUUCCAGUUUUUCCAGAGACUGCCAUGGGGGACACGUGAAGAAAUUUCAGGGCCUUGUGGUGCACACAUCAUACAUGAAUGUACACUCACAAACCAAGAAUGCUAAUUACUGUAAUGCCUGCCAACAUUCAGGACUUCCAAAUGCACAAUGAGAUUUUACUUCCAAUAGAGGCUAUAGAAAUUGGAAAGAGCCUAUGUCUAAUGAUGGAGGAUUUGCAUCACAUGUGAGAUCUGACACACAUUAAUGUUAUGUUAGCCAAAUGGAGUACUUUGAUAUGAUUCUCACAGGAUUGCAAUCAAGCUUUGCUGACUUUUUACAUUUUUCAGUAGUUUAAGUAUAUUUUGAUACAAAUUUAGAUUAUGAAUUCUUACUGUGCAUCAUUGUGAACUUUGGUACAGAAGCCUCAAAAAGUUGUGCAUCACUCUUAGGAAGUAUAUUAUGGAUUUAAGGUUGCGAGGUUUGGAUUGCUCGGUAUUCCGUGAUAUGUAAAAUAAAAUAUUUGUAAGUCUUGUGAAUUUCUUUGUUGUUGAUAUAUAUAAUUUCUCAACUGCUUUAGGUCUUUUUUAUUUAGUGCAUGAGUAGAUUACGAAGAUUAUUGUGCAGCUCUUCCUGAUGUAAUUGCACAUUAUUGCCUCUAUAAAGGUUU